rnacentral:rRNA from 1 species
AACGUAGGACACAAGCGUUAUCCGGAAUUAUUGGGCGUAAAGAGCUCGUAGGCGGCUUGUCACGUCGGGUGUGAAAGCCCGGGGCUUAACCCCGGGUCUGCAUUCGAUACGGGCUAGCUAGAGUGUGGUAGGGGAGAUCGGAAUUCCUGGUGUAGCGGUGAAAUGCGCAGAUAUCAGGAGGAACACCGGUGGCGAAGGCGGAUCUCUGGGCCAUUACUGACGCUGAGGAGCGAAAGCGUGGGGAGCGAACAGG